UACGUAGGGUGCAAGCGUUGUCCGGAAUUAUUGGGCGUAAAGAGCUCGUAGGCGGUCUGUCGCGUCGGAUGUGAAAACUCGGGGCUCAACCCCGAGCCUGCAUUCGAUACGGGCAGACUAGAGUUCGGUAGGGGAGACUGGAAUUCCUGGUGUAGCGGUGAAAUGCGCAGAUAUCAGGAGGAACACCCGGUGGCGAAGGCGGGUCUCUGGGCCGAUACUGACGCUGAGGAGCGAAAGCGUGGGGAGCGAACAGG
rnacentral:rRNA from 1 species